UUUUUUAUAGCUUAAAUCCCUGUAUUAGACAACACAAUAUUCUUAGCGUUUGUGCAAUGAUUUGUUAAUUAAAUUGCUGCUAAAACAAUCUUUAUUUUUCACCUUAAAAUCAGCAGAAUAUCAAUCUACAAUCAAUACAGUGUUGCCUGGAGGCAUCUCUUGCUUCAAAUUUGCUUCACAAAUCUGCUGCAGGGUGAAGUCUCAUUAUGUUGCCCAGGCUGGUCUUGAAUUCCUGGCCUCAAACUCCUGGCCUCAAGCCAUCCUCCUUCCUCAGCCUCCCAAAGCACUGGGAUUACAGGUAUGAGCUAAUGCCUCAGUUCUGAGAUCAGCUUUCUUUUUUUCUUUUUUUUGAGAUGGAGUCUCACUCUGUCACCCAGGCUGGAAUGCGGUGGUGCGGAGAUCAGCUUUCUUGACUUACAAAAAGACCUAUCCCUGAGAGAUAAAAAGCUCACAAUGAUAAGAAUUCAAAACACUGGAAGAUAUAUGUUGUAGGAACACAAAAACCCACUUUCCUCCAAGCCACCUGUCCUGACAAGGCUACUCCAAUCUUUUCACUGAAUCCUUCAGAAGGCCGGAAGAUGAGUGCCGGGGAGAGACAGUUGUGCUGACAUUACUGCCCGCAUUCUCUCCAGAUGAGCUGAGACACGUGCAGCCCAGGGCGGGUCGUCUGGCUGGUUUUGGUUAUUCAUCGCAGGCUGAAGAGUGGCCUUGGAAUUUCAGAGCAGAGACUAAUGGCUUUUCUCCUGAGAACAUGCAAUGAUGUGACAUUUUAGAGAGAAGUCAAAACACCACAAACCAUGGGGACUAUCAGUGUUUCCACCACUCGUAAGUGGCAGAUGAAAAUCAUGGCUAAUCCCGUUACUUCUUUUUCUGUCCAAAGUGGCUUCGUAGGUAGAGAAAGGUGAUCCGAGGGAGGUGAUGUUUGUGGGCUUUGCGCAUACAAAUAAAAUAGGAAAUGCAUCUCUGAGAUAGCAGGGAUGACGGGCACGUCUCUUAAACAUGAUUCACGCAUCCUUGGCCCUCUUGUUGAGGUUUAACGAUGUCUUCGUGGAUCCACUUCUCCACUUAGCAGCAUUCCAAACACAGUGAGGGGCAUAAAAACCACCUGAAGACACACCCCCUUUGUUAGCAAAAAGCUUAGCAUCUAGCCUGGGAGGAUGUUAGGGACUGAACUGUGUCCCCUCCCACAUUCCUAUAUGGAAGCCCUAACCUCCAGCACCUCCGAAUGACUCCAAAUGAGACUGCCUUUGGAAAUAAGGUCUUUAAAGAGGUGAUCAAGUUAAAAUGAGCUCUUUAGGGUGGGUGCUGAUCCGGUCACACUGGAGUCUUUAUGAGAAGAGGAAAGUUAGAUGCCAGGCGUGUGCAUGCACUAAGAUUAAAAAAAAUAGCCACACAAAAACACAUUGGGAAGGUGGCCGCCUGCAAGCCAGGAGAGAGGCCUCAAAAGAAACCAGCCCCGUGGACACCUUGAUCUUGGAUUUCUGGCCUCCAGAACUGUGAAAAAAUAAAUUUCUGUUGUUUAAGCCACACAGUCUGUGGUCCUUUGUUCAGCCUAAGCAAACAAAUACAGAAAGGAGUCCGGAUUCAGGUGUGGAAAAUGAUGAUAAUUCAAUGUCAAAAUGUUGCAACAGAAAAUAAGUGUCUGGACAAAGAGGAAGGAGAGAGAAAAGAGGGAGUGGGCUUAAGCAAGGAUCCUGGAGUUGGGAAGGACCUUCACCGAUGUCUCCCCACAAUCUUCCCUCCACGGAUCCUUGCGUGACCGAUGCCCCCUCAUCCUCAUGAGAGGCCCUGGCUGAGCAGAACCGGCCCAGGGACCUUGAGGCAGAGCGUGUGGGGAGCACAGUUUGUUUUUUAAGAGAUGGCAGUGGGUUCAUUUGAUCCUAUGCUGCUGAGGUUGAUUUUCGUUUUUUGGGUUUUUUCUUAGAUGAAAAGUGAAUUUUUGAACUUGCCGUUAGCAUUGCCCAUGAACUGUUUCCAGCUAUUUCCACCCUCCAUGCUUGGCUACUUUAGGGCCUGAAAUGGUGAUGCUGCUUCCUGUAGAGAUGAAAUGAUGGAAGCGAGAUGAGAUGGCGCCUCCCUCUAUUGCCCAGG
rnacentral:lncRNA from 10 species